UCUGAAUGUAGUGUAUAUACGUUUGCGACAUAUCGGCUCAUUUACGGCAGCUACUGUCAACGUGGACGAAGUUCGGCUGGUCGACUGGGGCGUAAUUAACAAACAACCAAUCAUCAACUGAGAUCAAGAUGAGGCAGCUGAAGGGCAAGGUCAAGGAGACGAGGAAGGAGAAGCGGGAGCGCAAGAUGGACAAUAUGAAAAACAAGCAGGCGUUGAUGACGGUCGUGCUCCCUGUGUUGGGGGUGAUCGCCUUGUUGAUUGGACUCUUCGUGUACGUGAACUCUCGCCCGAUGCCCGACGAGCAGUGAUCUGGCCAGACUUUGAACUCAUACUGGAUUUAUAUUGUUAACUAUAUAUUUUAUGGUUAUGGGUGUUUCUGAGACCUGUGUGAAUGCUGACUGAGAGUUUUGGUGUUUGGUCAGAUUUUCAAGAACUUUGCAUAAUUCAUUCGUCAUCACAUCGUUGAAUUUUCGCUAAGAUGAAGAGGUGGUAGUAAUUGAUAUCUGUGCAGUGAGAUGCACUGGACGUUGUAUAUGCUUCAGCCAGUCAGGGGAUCGAGGUCAUGCCUGUGAACAAAAUGAGUUCUGAGCAAUUGUAGCCCUUUAGAAAUAAUUAUUAUUGUUUUUCUAGGGUCAAGGUCAUGCCCUGAGAACAAAAUAACUGAUCAAUCGUGGCCCAAGAAAAUGAUUGCUUUUCCUCCAUGUCCUACUUACUCCAUGGCCACGAUUUUGACUUUUAGUUUCUAUGGUUACCAGACCCAUAAUUAUUCCUGACAGUUAGUAACGAUUGUGUAGUGUCGAUUUUAGGUUCAAACAAA